AUUGUAAAAAUAUCACAUGAACUAGUGUUACUCUGUCUGUCAUAAAGUGCUGGUUCAAAGAAGAACUUUCCCACUGUGUGAUGGAGGAUUUUGUUCCUGUCUGUCUGAAAAACUGAAGCUUUAAAGUCUAAUACCUUGGUAUUAGACUUUCACCUCUGCUGUUACCUUGAAAUUCCAAGUUAAUUCCAGAGGAAUUAAAAGAACAGGUAAUCCUGAUUAAAUCUUCUCCUGGAAUAAAGGAACUUUGGUCUGAGGGUGAAUCUACAUUUUAUGUCUUUAUCUGAGAGUUUCUUCACCCACUGCUUGAAGCAUGUGACUCUGAUCACCCCCAAGGCCAGAGUAUCACCAGGUGAGACAGAAGUUUGAACUACUAUGAUGAGCCCGUGUUUCUGUGAGGCCAAGAGCAAUCAAAAAAUAGCUCUUGAGGAAGACAACCACAGAACAACUCCAGAGAAAGCAUAGUCUUUCCCACUUAACUCUUCGGCAACACGUUUUGAGAUAAUAUUUGCAAAAUCAUGGCCAAUAAAUAAGAUUUCACACUUUUUUCCUCCUUGUCAUUUAUUGGAAUAUGGUGCUAUUGUAAAUUUUAUACUGAAUGUAUCUACAAAUAAGAACUACUUUUUAAACUGUUCAUUCAUUGACAGCAAACAUCAGUUAAUCUUGCUGAGAUGAAAAAAAAUAGGAGUGAAUUUGAAUGAAAGAAUUAUUCAGUAAUAUCCUGGUUUAGAUUGUUUCUUUUAAGCGAAUCACAGUGCUUUACUUUCACAGGACUUUUGGCUACUUUCAUGUUUUUAAAAUUAUCCAUGAUAAACAAGAUGUUUAACAACUCCAAUUGUAAACUGAGUUAUCAAUUAUAUACCACUGUUUUGGGACAAUAAUACAGAAGUUCCUGCAUAAACAAGAGCAAGCUAUGAGAUAACAGUAAUAAACCUUCCACAGGCACUCAGAAAAGACAGAAAGUGGAACAGCAAAUUUAUUAUUUACCCUUUUUAAGGAGAAGAUCUACAUGUGCUCUACAUAGAAUGAUUAUAGGGAGCAUUCCAUCUAAUUUUUGAUGCAUUAAACUAGUGCACCAGCUGCACUGAAUGCACUAACCUACUUGCCUAAGUUAGGGCUCAAGGCUUCUGCUGUAAUCAGAGGAGAUGAAAAGUUUUGAUAGGCUAGAGUACCUUGGAGUUAUCUAUCAAGGGGUGCUUGCAGUGACAAGGCUUAGAAUCAGAUUUACUAUUUAUGUACUUAAAUUCAGCUGAAAAGUAGUCAAACCUGUUUGCUUUAUGUUUUUCAUCAUGAACCAAUGUAUGUAAAAUAUGAACAUGUGCCAACUUGAUUGAGAGCUUAUACAAAUCAAAAUCUUGCCUUUAGAACACACUGUGUAAUCAGGUUUUGUAUUUGUACUAGUUUUUGAUAUUUGUUUUCACUAUGAAAGCAAGUUGCAUGAAAUUCUGGAGUAUCCACUGGUGUUAUAACCAAUAAAAGAAUGGAAAGGAAUACAUAAGCCUUUCCUUUUACUUUUUAUUGCUAUUCGCUUUGGGACUUGCAUAUCACUAUGGGUAGCAUUUCCUUACAAGCAAAUAAAUGAAUGAACAAUACAAAA